rnacentral:rRNA from 1 species
UGGGGAAUAUUGCGCAAUGGGGGGAACCCUGACGCAGCCAUGCCGCGUGAAUGAAGAAGGCCUUCGGGUUGUAAAGUUCUUUCGGUAUUGAGGAAGGUUGAUGUGUUAAUAGCACAUCAAAUUGACGUUAAAUACAGAAGAAGCACCGGCUAACUCCGUGCCAGCAGCCGCGGUAAUACGGAGGGUGCGAGCGUUAAUCGGAAUAACUGGGCGUAAAGGGCACGCAGGCGGUUAUUUAAGUGAGGUGUGAAAGCCCCGAGCUUAACCUGGGAAUUGCAUUUCAGACUGGGUAACUAGAGUACUUUAGGGAGGGGUAGAAUUCCACGUGUAGCGGUGAAAUGCGUAGAGAUGUGGAGGAAUACCGAAGGCGAAGGCAGCCCCUUGGGAAUGUACUGACGCUCAUGUGCGAAAGCGUGGGGAGCAAACAGGAUUAGAUACCCUGGUAGUCCACGCUGUAAACGCUGUCGAUUUGGGGGUUGGGGUUUAACUCUGGCGCCCGUAGCUAACGUGAUAAAUCGACCGCCUGGGGAGUACGGCCGCAAGGUU